rnacentral:lncRNA from 1 species
CUUUAAAAUAGCUUCUGUGGAUAACAUUUUCAUCCAGCUCUUGAUAUUCAUGAUACUCCCAAGGGAAUAGCUAUCAUAAAGUUCUUCAAUCUUUUCAAAGAAGCUUGACAUGUUAUACGAGAGGUUUGUAGACUAAAGGCAAGGUUUGGACUUUGGCCUUUGGAAGAGAAAAAUGUUCGUAUCGACUGUCUUCAUCUCACAUGUUGAUCAACCGGGAUUGCUCCCAACCAUUGGACGCAAGUAUGAAAGGGGUGUCUUCUCUUCUCUCAUUUGCAAUACACGAACAAAACCCUCUUUCUCUCUCUAUCUCAUACAGCUGCACCUCUCGAGUAUGUCUUCACCAGCUGAUCCUGUUUUCAGAAAUUGAUGAAGAGCAUAUUGUUAAUUUUUUAUUUUUUUAGUAAUUAGUAGUAUAAAUCCUUGAAGUCCUAUUCCAUAGGAAAUUGGGUACGUGGUUUACCAUUCCUUUAGGAGAAUCUAUGAGCUUAGGAGUUGUUAGUCAUGGGUUAGUUGCUACUGAUUAUUUUGCUAUUUUUCUGUUAAGUUUGUUGGUUGUAAUGCCUAUAUAAAGGCAAUUUCAUUAUGAUAAUAAUGCAGUUCUUCUUCUUCUUCUUAUUCUUCACCAAAGGCCUCGUUCCUGUAUCUGUUCUUUCAUCUUUCUUCCUUUUUAAUUGUGCCAGAUCUAUCUUUUUUGUGUAACGUCUGGUAUUAGAGCCAGGAGGAGUGAGAACAGAAAAACUACAGAGUGCAAAAAAAGAGUUCAGAGUGCAAAAAUAAAAAUAAAAAUAGAAAGUGAGAUAGGGAGUGAUAUAGCAUUUCACAUAUUCUAUUUUGCAGUAGCCAGCAGGCAUCAAUAGCAUCAGACAAUAACUAUGUACAACCAGCAAUACCUCGCUUUGAUGGUCACUAUGAUCAUUGGAGCAUGCUGAUGGAGAAUUUUUUGCAUUCUAAAGAAAAUUGGACUAUAGUGGAAGGAGGAGUGACUGAACUAGCCCCUAGAGUGAUGUUGAUUGAAGCUUAACAGAAGAAACUUGAAGAACAGAAGCUGAAGGAUCUCAAGGCAAAGAACUAUCUAUUUCAAGCUAUUGAUCGUACCAUUUUGGAGACAACUCUGCAAAAGGAUACCUGUAAAUAGAUAUGGGAUUCCAUGAAGCAAAAAUAUCAGGGCACAACAAGGGUUAAAAGGCUGCGUGCUUCAAGCCCUUUGCAAAGAAUUCGAGAUUCACCAUAUGAAGCAAGGAGAGUCUGCUGAUGAAUAUUUCUCAAGAACACUGGUAAUAGUAAACAAGAUGCGUGUUCAUGGUGACAAAAUUGCAGACGUGGCUGUGGUGGAGAAAAUUCUUCGAUCAAUGGCUCCAAAAUUUUCCUAUGUCGUAUGUUCUAUUGAGCAGUCAAAAGACCUCGAUGAGCUUUCAAUUGAUGAGUUGUAAAGUUCCUUGCUAGUGUAUGAGCAAAGAAUGAGAACAGGUUCAACCGAGGAUCAAGUUUAAAGGCUUCAACUUAUGGUGAAGCCUCUACAGGAAGAGGAUCAAGUCGAGGCUGUGGACGAGGAAGAUGUAGAGGAUCUUACAACCAGAAUCUCGAGGCAGAGACAGAGGACAUGAUCACCACCAGCAUUCACUUAACAAUGAUUCAAAGUUUGAUAAGUACAACAUUGAGAGCUACCGCUGUCACAAGUUUGGUUAUCAUAAGUCUAAAUGCACUGUAAAUCUUCACCCUGGCAAGGGAGAUCAUUCAAACUUUGUAGAGAAAAGGGAACAAAAAACACUCUUGAUGGCAUUUCAACUCAUGGAACUAGAAACAGACAUAUGGUAUUUGGAUACGGGAUGCAAUAAUCAUAUGUGCGGUAAUAAAUCACUAUUUUCUUAUUUAAAUGAAGAUUUUCAUACUAUUGUGAGUUUUGGUGAUCGUUCUAAAGUAAAUGUUACGGGAAAGGGUGAUAUUGAAAUCAGGACUAAAAAUGACAAUAUUGAGACUAUUUUAAAUGCAUUUUGUGUUCCUGAUUUGAAAAGUAAUUUAUUUAGUAUGGGACAAUUACAAGAGAAAGGUUAUGAGGCUACAAUCAAAGGUGGUGCAUAUGAAAUCUAUGAUCCAAGAAGAGGGCUAAUUGCUCAUGUAAAGAUGAUCCCGAACAAGUUGUUUCCCUUGAAAAUAAAGAGUAUUCAAACUUGUUUCAAAGCUGAUGUAAGUGAUUUGACAUGGCUUUGGCAUCUAUGGUAUGCCUAUCUGAAUUUCAAUGGUUUGAAUAUCCUUUCUCAGAAGCAUAUGGUGACUGGCCUUCCUCAAAUUACUCCUCUCUCAAAAAUAUGUGAAGAAUGUGUUGUUGGCAAACAAUGUCGUGAGCAAUUUCCAAAAGGCAAGGCAUGAAGAGCACAAAGGCCAUUGGAGCUGACCCAUUCUGAUAUAUGUGGUCCAAUAAACCCAAUGUCAAAUGGAAAAAAGAAAUACUUUAUUUCUUUUAUUGAUGAUUAUUGUAAAAAACAUGGAUUUACUUUUUGCAGGAAAAAUCUGAAGCUUUCACAGCUUUUAAAAACUUCAAAGCCCAGGUAGAGAAUAAAGUUGGAAGAACUAUUAAAACUCUCCGAACUGAUCGUGAGGCAGAAUACAUGUCACAAGAAUUUGUAAUUUUUUGUGAUGAGCAUGGAAUUCGAAGGCAAUUGAUAGCAGCUUGCAUGCCUCAACAAAAUGGCAUAGCAGAGAGAAGAACCGAACUAUUCUAAACAUGGUGCGAAGCAUGACAGCAAACGAGAGGAUUCCAUAGAAUUUUUGGCCAGAAGCAGUAAGUUCGAGUGCUCAUGUUUUGAAUCGGAGUCCUACCUUUUCUGUUGAAAACAUGACUCCAUAAGAAGCUUGGAGUGGGCGAAAACCAUCUGUUGAUCAUUUCAAGGUUUUCGGGUGCAUUGCAUAUGCACAUGUUCUGGACAAAAAGAUGAAGAAGUUAGCUGAUAAAGGCGAAAAGUGUGUCUUCCUUGGCAUUAGUAAACAGUCAAAAGUCUUCAAAUUGUUCAAUCCAAUCACAGGGGAGAUUAUCAUCAGUCGUGAUGUUGUGUUUGAUGAAGAAAAUACAUGGAAUUAGAUUGAAGAAGAUGCAGGGCAGCACCAAAUACCUGUGAAUUUUGAAGAGAAAGAAGCAGAAAUACCGGGGCAAUCUACCUUUCCUAAUAUUCCUUCAUUGUCACAACAAGACCAGUACAUGCUCCAACCAAAUCAGCACUUGCAGCAGUCGGACCAGCACCGAUAGUAGCCAAUUGAUGUCAACAAAGCUCAGGCAACAAGUGAAAGCUCUUGAUCUCAACGAAUAAAAAAGAGGUCUGCUUGGAUGGUGGAUUUUGAGGUUAGUGGUAAUCAAUCUGAUGAUAUUUUUGCUGAUUAUGCUUUAUUAUCAAAUUGUGAUCCUAUAACAUUCUAAGAAGCCGUUAAAGAUUCGAAAUGGCAAAAGACUAUGAAUGAGGAGUUCAAGUCUAUAGAGAAAAACAACACAUGGGAAAUAUUAGAACUUCUGGAAGGACAAAAGUCUAUUGGUGUUAAAUGGUGUACAAAACUAAGUUGAACAAAGAUGGCAAAGUUGACAAGUAUAAAACACGGCUUGUUGCAAAGGGAUAUAAGCAAGAAUUUGGCUUUGAUUACAAGAAGGUUUUUGCUCCAGUUGCAAGGCAUGAUACAAUUCGAAUGAUGGUAGCACUGGGAGCACAAAAUUCUUGGCCAGUGUUUCGGUUGGAUGUAAAAUCAGGCUUUUUACAUGGAAAUCUAGAUGAGAAGGUUUAUAGAUUAGCCCCCUAGUUAUCUGCAACGAAGAAAUGAAGAUAAAGUGUAUAGGUUGAAAAAAGCUUUAUACGGGUUGAAACAAGCACCUAGAGCUUGGUAUAGCUAUAUAAAGACUUAUCUUACUAAGGCUGGGUUCCAAAAAUGUCCAUACGAGCUACUCUCUUUAUUAUAUUGGGAUCUGCAGGAAAAUGUCUUAUUAUUUGUUUGUAUGUAGAUGAUUUGAUCUACACAAGAAAUGAUCAAGUAAUGUUCGAAGAUUUUAAAAGAUCCAUGAUGACAGAGUUUGAGAUGACCGAUCUAGGAAUGAUGCACUAUUUUCUUGGUAUCAAAGUGGUGCAAUCUACAACUAGAAUUUUCAUUACUCAAAAGAAAUAUGCUUCAGAGAUCUUGGAUAGGCUUCAAAUGAUGGAUUACAACUCGGUUGGAACACCAAUUGAACUUGGUUUGAAGCUCACAAAGGACAUUGAAGAAAAGAAGGUCAAUAGUAUAUUAUAUAAACACCUUAUUGGGAGCUUGAUGUGCUUAACAGCAACUAGACCAGACAUUAUGUUUGCUAUAAGCCUUAUUAGCAAGUUUAUGGAAUGUCCAAAUGAGCUUCAUCUCCUUGCUGCAAAGAGAGUCUUACGCUACUUGAAAGGUACACUUGAUUUCAGAAUUUUUUAUCAAAAAGGGGAAGGAUCAGAUCUUGUUGGCUUUAGCGACAGUGAUUAUACAGGAGAUUUAGAGGGUAAAAGAAGUACAUCAUGUCAUGUAUUUAUGAUAAGUUCGGGGGCUGUAUCUUGGUCAUCAAAAAAGCAACAAGUUGUUACUUUAUCUACAACUGAAGCAGAGUUUAUAGCCGCAGCUUCUUGUGCGUGUCAAGCUAUUUGAUCGAAAAGAAUACUUGAGUUUUUGCAUUUUUUCCAGCACGGAUCUAUACAGAUUUUUAUUAUGAUAAUAGUUCAAUCAUUAAACUCUCCAAGAAUCCAGUUUCACAUGGGAGGAGCAAGCACACUUCGCGAUCUUACAAAAGAAGGAGUUAUUAAAUUGGUUUAUUGUCGGAGUGAAGACCAGGUUGCAGAUAUUCUAACCAAGCCUCUCAAAUUGGUUGCAUUUGUGAAGCCGCGUCAUUUACUUGGAGUUCGUUCGAUUUCUAGUAUAAACCGAUUGUAUAACAUUCAGUUUAAGGGGGUGUGUUAAUGUUUUAUUUUUUUAGUAAUUAGUAGAAUAAAUCCUUGAAGACCUAUUCCAUAGGAAAUUGGGUACACGGUUUACCAUUUCUUUAUGAGAAUCCAUGAGCUUAGGAGUUGUUAGUCAUGGGUUAGUUGCUACUGAUUAUUCUGCUAUUUUUCUGUUAAGUUUGUUGGUUGUAAUGCCUAUAUAAAGGCAAUUGCAUUAUGAUAAUGAUGUAGUUUUUCUUCUUCUUCACGAAA